UGGAAAAGAAGGUUGAGCUGAAAAACUGAGAAGCAGUUAGUCUUUCUGGAGUUUGCUGAUUGCAAGCAUCUGGGAGGCUUUGUUGCCAAGCUACCUGGUGGAUUACCUUUACCUGUCUGUUAAUGUUAAGACCUAUGAUUCCUGAGAAGAAGAUCCUUGAACUGAAGCUAGCCUGACUCAAUAUCCAGUCAAGAGCAGCUGUUACAGGUUCCCAGAAGCCAGCAGCAAAGAAUUGGCCAGACACAUUAUUAAAAACUAGACCAAGCAUCCCCAUUCCUCCAACCAAAGAACAACUCUAAUCCUUCCCCAUUGAAGAACUUCUGAUACCUGAAACUCCAGCUCAGCAAUUUUCUUCCUAAAAUGUGGUACCCAGCAUGGCCUCCUCAAGAAGAGACAUGACCAGGUCUGAAAAGAGCAGAGCUAGCAUUUUCUCAUUCAGGACACCAACAAAGCCCAAGAACCAAAUAAGCAGAAAGCAUCUGUCCUCAUCUGUCCUCAAGGAGCUUCUGAUCACUUAGUUGGAAGGAACUUCAGAGUUUCUUUCCAGUAUGAGGAUCCUAAGAUUCGGCAGUUUUAUGAAAGAGACAUCUUGGUUGAUGAGUUCAUGAUUAAAUAAAGUUUGGAGAUGAAUGAGA